AUUUGAUAGACAUCUGGGUUGAUUCCAUAUCUUAGCUGUUGUGAAUUGAGCAGCCAUAAACAUGUGGGUACAGAUAACUCUUUCAUCUGCUGAUUUCAAUUUGUUUAGGUAAAUUCCCAUGAGUGGCAUUUCUGGUUCAUAUGAUUCAUCUAUUUUCAGCCUUUUGAGGUGUCUCCAUACUGUCUUCCACAAUGGCUUCACCAGAUUACAUUCCCAAUGGAUUAGGAAUAGGUUACCUACCUAGAGCACACUUGAGAUCAACACAGGCCCGCUAUUCUAGCCUGGAGACAAGACAGCUGUCACCCACGUUUUUACGCUGCCUGGACGCUUCUGGUGCUGCUGUGCUUGCUGGGAGGGAGAGGAGGGUCCUAGAUGGCUGGCGCUUGCGCAGUCGGCCUGGUGGAGAGCAAGAAGAUGUAUCCGGCGGUGGCGGCGUGUUGUCGGCUGCAGGAGUUUUCGGCUGAUGGCGGCGUUUUCAGCAGAGGUACAGGCCCGGAGAGUGCAGGAGUGAAGACAUCUUCAUGGAUAUGAAACUGGACGCAGAGUUGACGCUGAAGUUCAGCUGCUGAGUCAUCUUCCAUUUCUAGAGACUGCUCGAUUUCCUGCUAAACACACUUGGGGCUUCUUCCUGGAGAGGAGCAACUGGUUCAGAGCAGCGGGGGUGGGCAGCGUCUCAGCCAUGAGGAAGCCGAGAAGCGGAUGUCUGCCUCCCCUCCUCCCUCCCAGAGGACCUGGAUGUGAAACUAACCCAGAGUGGACGCUGAAGCUCAGCUGCCAAGUAAUCUCCCAUUCCCGGAGAGACUGCACAGCUUCCUGCUCAAUGCCAGGUGGGGCUUCAUCCUGGAGAGGAGCAACAGGUUUUUUUCUUUUUUUUGUACCGGAAAACAUUUCUUACCUGGAGCACACCGGAGAUCAACACAGCCCCGCUAUCCUAGCCCGGAGCCAAGACAGCUGUCACCCAUGUUUUUGACGCUGCCUGGCCGCUUCCGGUGCUGCUGUGCUUACUGGGAGGAAGAGGCGGGUCCUAGAUGCUGGCUCUUGCGCAAUCAGCCUGGUGGAGAGCAAGACGAGAUUAUCUGGUGGUGGCGGCAUGUCGUCGGCUGCUGGAAUUGUUUGCUGAUGGCGGCGUUUUUGGCAGCGGUACUGGCCCGGAGAGUGUGGGAGUGAAGACAUUUUCAUGGAUAUGAAAUUGGACACCGAGUUGACAUGGAAGUUCAGCUGCUGGGUAAUCUUCCAUUUCUGGGGACUGCUUUGCUUCCUGGUAAAACCCAGCUGUGCCUUCACCCUGGACAGGAGCAACUGACAUUUUCAUGGAUAUGAAACUGGACACUGAGUUGGCACUGAAUUUCAGCUGCUGGGUAAUCUUCCAUUUCUGGAACCUCCUUGGCUUCCUGGUAAAACCCAGCUGUGCCUUCACCCUGGACAGGAGCAACUGGGCACGGAUGUGAAACUCACCCAGAGCGGACGGUGAAGCGCAACUGCCGGGUGUUCUUCCAGUUCUGGAGACUGCACAGCUUCCUGCUCAAUGCCAGCUGGACCUUCUUCCGGGAGAGAAUCAACUGGCCAGAGCAGAGAGUUGGAUCAGAAGUGGAGCAGCUGGUACUCAAACCCGUGCCAUUGUGGGAUGCCAGGCCUGAAGGUGGCCUUACCCACUAUGCCACAGCACCAUUUGAAGAAUGGAUUGAUGGAGCAGCUUGUUUAUACCUUUGCAAUUCUGCCAUAUGACGGUGCACGGACAUUAGCCACCGAAGCUUCACCAGACACGGAGUCCCCUAACACUGUGACCUUGGACUUACCAGCCUCCGAAAGAGUGAGUAAUAAAUCCCUGUUGUUUAUAAACUUCCCAGUGUAAUGUGUUUUCUUACAGCAUCCAAAAUGGACUAAGAUGGAGUAAUAAUCUGAAAAGUUUAGAAAUGGGUGGGCAUUGAGGCACAGCAGGUUAAACUGGCAUUUGGGUUGUCAGCAUCCUACAUCAACCUGCCUGUUGUGAGUCCCAGCUCCUCCAUUUCCAAUUCAGUUUCCUGGUAAUUCCUCGGGAGGCAACAAACAAUGGCCCAAGUGCAUAGUUCCUGCCACCGACAUUGGAGACUGAGAUGUAGUUCCUGGCUCCUGGCUUCUGCCUGGCCCAGUCCUGGCUUUUGGGGGCAUUUGUGGAGUAAGUCAGUCAUGAGGUAGAGGCUCUCUCUUUGUGGCUCUGUCACUCUGCCUGGCAAAUGAACACAUAAACCUUAUGAAAAACAUCGUUGAUGACAUGACUUUGGUAAAUGCUUCAUCAAGUAAGAAGUUUAAAAAGUAAAACAUGGGGCUGGCACUGUGGUAUCACGUACAAGCUGUGGUUUGAAUCCUGGCUGUUCUACCUCUGAUCCAUCUCCCUGCUAAUGCACGUGGGAUAGUAGCAGAGGAUAGCUCAAGUGCU